UCGAGCGAGAAAGCCCGCAAGGGUGAGUACAGCGGCGCACGGGUGCGUAACACGUUGGUAAUCUUCCUUGGAGCUCGGAAUAACUCCCCGAAAGGGGUGCUAAUGCCGGAUGAGACCACGGGAUCUUUGGAUCCUGAGGGAAAAGGCGGCCUCUGUAUACAAGCUGUCACUCCAAGAUGAGCCCGCGGCCCAUCAGCUAGUUGGCGGGGUAAUGGCCCACCAAGGCUACGACGGGUAGCUGGUCUGAGAGGACGAUCAGCCACACUGGAACUGAGACACGGUCCAGACUCCUACGGGAGGCAGCAGUGGGGAAUCUUGCGCAAUGGGCGAAAGCCUGACGCAGCAACGCCGCGUGUGUGAUGAAGGUCUUCGGAUCGUAAAGCACUGUCGGGAGGACGAAUAAGGGGCGGGCUAACAUCCCGUUCCGAUGACGGUACCUCCAAAGGAAGCACCGGCUAACUCUGUGCCAGCAGCCGCGGUAAUACAGAGGGUGCAAGCGUUGUUCGGAAUUAUUGGGCGUAAAGCGCGUGUAGGCGGCCUUGCAAGUUGGGUGUGAAAGCCCUCGGCUUAACCGAGGAAGUGCGCCCAAAACUACAGGGCUUGAGUACCGGAGAGGGUGGCGGAAUUCCCGGUGUAGAGGUGAAAUUCGUAGAUAUCGGGAGGAACACCAGUGGCGAAGGCGGCCACCUGGACGGAUACUGACGCUGAGACGCGAAAGCGUGGGUAGCAAACAGGAUUAGAUACCCUGGUAGUCCACGCUGUAAACGAUGAGCGCUAGGUGUUGUGGGUGUUGAC
rnacentral:rRNA from 1 species